GUUAUAUUUAUUUUUUAUAGGAUCAUGUGUCCAUUCUGCCAAAAGUUAGACCAAAGCAAGGCUCAGGUCAGGCCAACGCUUGCAAUGUAAACAUGAUCAUAGAUCAUGUCAUAUGCAAUGAUAACAGUCUAACAGUUACUUCGGUUUCGUAAUUUUCUAUUAAAGUCGAAAAACUUCAGUUUGGUUACUUAAAUGUAUGCCGACUUGUUUUUCAAUAUAGUUGAGCUUAUCCACUGCAUCAACCAAACGGGCUUCGUACAAGCUAGAGAAUCCUUAAAAUCCAGUUUCUUUCUGAUUAAUCACAUAGUCCUUGUGUACUUCAAUUAGGUGGGCAUAAAAAUGACCGUCAUUUUCUUCCUGUCCAGGGCGAGAUCUUUUGAGAGCUGUAUACGUCGAAUUUUCAUUUUCUACUUCUUCAUAAUUCGCAUCAUCCUUGUCAGGAUUUUCAUUAAUUUUUUCUGAAUUAUUUCUAUCCUUCGUUUUGUUCUCCGGGUUUGGCUUUAAUAAUUUAAGACGACGAUUUUGAAGGAUGAAAUAAGCA
rnacentral:lncRNA from 1 species